CAGCUGGGUUCAAGAAGGAAGGAACCUCAUUGUUGACAGUUACCAGAUGAAUGUGCCCCUUCUGUACAGCUAAGAAAUGGAAUAGACAUUGGUAACCUUCCACAGGCCCACACAUGUGUUAUCAGCCAUACCUUAGGACAGAAGGAAUGAGUUUGCAGAAAGGAUGGUAAGUGUUUCUGAAUAAAUCGAGCAUACAAUAGGAGAUACAUGAGAAGGAGUAAAUGGCCAGAGCAGUAUAUUUAUAGACAAGGAAUAGUACCCAAGAUGGAAUUAUCUCUGUUGUGAUAUAAAUGAAAAUGUAAGAACAUUAUUGCAGACACAAACCUUCUCAAUGAAAAGAAGUAGGUUGUGGAGAAGAGAUACUGAGACAUGCAUUGGACUUAUAAAGAGGACAGGGCCAGAAAGGCCAGAGCAGACACUAGUUCAAACAAAGGAAGAAAAUGAAAAUGAAGACCCGACCUGGAGAAAAAUUUCAUGAGUAGGCAGUAUAAUCAGAGAUUGUUUCACACCCUUGAUUACAAAGGAAGACAGACUAGCCAGGAAGCUAGACUAUUGAGCUAGACAGACUAGGUCAAUACAGAAACAAUACUCAGUUACUAAGUUAUUAAGAAGCAGAUAUUGCGAUAAUCUUCACAUGGGUUAUUAUGUCUUUUCUUCACGAGAACCUCAAUGUAGAUAUUACAAUUGUGAAGGGCCAUAUAGUACAUUGAUAUCCUCAAUGUGGAUAUUACGAUUAUGAAGGGCCAUAUAGUACAUUCCAAUUUUAUAGAUGAGAAGAACUCUAUGAUAUAGAAAUGCUGAAUAAUUUGUCUAGAGUCAUUCAGAUAGUAAGUGGGAGAUGAGAGGUUUGGAUUUAAGAAGUCUGAUAUUUGCUGUAUGCAAAUAUCCCAAAGGAGCAUUAAAUGCUCCAAACCCAAAAUAAGAGCGCUCAGGUGUGUGACUGUUGGAGCUGAAAUUAGAUUCUGCUGGGGUUUACUUAUUGCUCCUGCUGUCAUUGAUAAACCCUAUUUCCAAAGGUUUAAAUCUCCCAAGUCUCUUGAAGGUGGCAGGUAGCAUAUAUCAAAUCAUAUAGUUCCCAUCCUAGCCACUAGGUGGUAGUUAAUACUAUCAACUCAAGAGUGUUUCCUGAUACGGACAGGGUGGAAAAGGACAAAAUGUUUGCAGUUUUCAGUGGUCAAACUAGGUGCUCUUUUUGUAU
ensembl:lncRNA novel transcript